rnacentral:tRNA from 1 species
GGGAGAUUAGCUCAGCUGGUUCAGAGCACCUGCCUUACAAGCAGGGGGUCGGCGGUUCGAGUCCGUCAUCUCCCA